rnacentral:misc_RNA from 1 species
AAGACUAUAGACCUGCGGAGUACCUGCGGAGGGAUCAUUAGUGAACGCCCUCACGGGCUUAUAACUAUUCCAAACCUUUGUGAACCGUGCCCUUCGGGGCUAUUUUACAAACAUGGUGUAAUGAACGUCAUAUAUCAUAACAAAACAAAACUUUUAACAACGGAUCUCU